rnacentral:rRNA from 1 species
CCUACGGGAGGCAGCAGUGAGGAAUAUUGGUCAAUGGACGAGAGUCUGAACCAGCCAAGUAGCGUGAAGGAUGACUGCCCUAUGGGUUGUAAACUUCUUUUAUAUGGGAAUAAAAUGUUCCACGUGUGGGAUUUUGUAUGUACCAUAUGAAUAAGGAUCGGCUAACUCCGUGCCAGCAGCCGCGGUAAUACGGAGGAUCCGAGCGUUAUCCGGAUUUAUUGGGUUUAAAGGGAGCGUAGGUGGAUUGUUAAGUCAGUUGUGAAAGUUUGCGGCUCAACCGUAAAAUUGCAGUUGAAACUGGCAGUCUUGAGUACAGUAGAGGUGGGCGGAAUUCGUGGAGUAGCGGUGAAAUGCUUAGAUAUCACGAAGAACGCCGAUUGCGAAGGCAGUUCACUGGACUGCAACUGACACUGAGGCUCGAAAGUGUGGGUAUCAAACAGGAUUAGAUACCCCAGUAGUC